GGCUUGACUGUGUAAGGAAUUGCCGUCACAUAAGCCAGCGACUCUCAUUCGGAUACUUAAUGCGCAGCGGAAAUGGAUGACUCAGGAAGAUGCUACUUAUGUUGCUGUUCAUUGUAUGAGGAUUCGUGAGAAUGAGGCCAGAUUUCUCUUCAGGGUGCACAAAU